UUAAGCUGAAAAGAGCGCAAGGGGAAUGCCUUGGCAUCAGGAGCCGACGAAGGACGUGACAAGCUGCGAUAAGCCACGGGGAGGAGCAAAUAUCCGUUAUAUCCGUGGAUCUCCGAAUGGGGGAACCCGCUCAAGCAAUACUUGAGCAUCGUGCGUUGAAUCAAAUAGGCGUACGAAGGGAACGGCCUGAACUGAAACAUCUAAGUAGGGCCAGGAAAAGACAUCAACCGAGAUUCCGCUAGUAGUGGCGAGCGAACGCGGAGGAGGCCAAACCGAGGGACGCAAGUUCUUCGGGGUUGCGGACAGACAUCAUGACCAGAGGUAAUUAAGAGAACGGCGUGGGAAAGCCGGCCAUAGAAGGUGAGAGCCCUGUAUCUGAAAAUGAAGACUGGCAGUCUGGAUCCAGAGUACCGCGGGACACGUGAAACCCCGUGGGAAACCGGGUGGACCACCAUCCAAGCCUAAAUACUACCUGAUGACCGAUAGAGGAGCAGUACCGUGAGGGAAAGGUGAAAAGGACCCCGGGAGGGGAGUGAAAGAGAACCUGAAACCUUGUGCUUACAAGCAGUCAGAGCGCGUUAAAGCGUGAUGGCGUACUUUUUGUAGAACGGUCCGGCGAGUUAUAGUAACGAGCAAGCUUAAGGUAUUCAGUACCGGAGGCGAAGCGAAAGCGAGUCUGAAUAGGGCGUAUGAAGUUCGUUGCCAUAGACCCGAAACCGGGUGACCUACGCAUGAGCAGGUUGAAGUGGGGGUGAAACCCCAUGGAGGACCGAACCGACCCCCGUUGCAAUGGUGGCGGAUGACUUGUGUGUAGCGGUGAAAUUCCAAUCGAACUCGGAGAUAGCUGGUUCUCCCCGAAAUAGCUUUAGGGCUAGCGUUGUGUUAGAUUACCGGAGGUAAAGCACUGAAUGGUUUAGGGGCUGAUAAAGUUACCGACGCCUAUCAAACUCUGAAUGCCGGAUAAUUGAUGACUAGCAGUCAGACAGUGUGAGAUAAGUUUCAUUGUCAAAAGGGAAACAGCCCAGACCUACAGCUAAGGUCCCAAAUGUAUGCUAAGUGGAAAACGAUGUGGAAUUGCGAAAACAACCAGGAUGUUGGCUCAGAAGCAGCCACACAUUAAAAGAGUGCGUAAUAGCUCACUGGUCGAGUGACUCUGCGCGGAAAAUGUAACGGGGCUAAGCAUGCAACCGAAGCUUAGGAUUGUCUAAAGACAGUGGUAGGGGAGCGUUCUGUAUGGGGUGAAGUCGCAGCGAGAGCAGCGGUGGACUGUACAGAAGUGAGAAUGCCGGAAUGAGUAGCGAGAAUUAUGUGGGAAUCAUAAUGGCCGAAAAUCUAAGGUUUCUUGGGGAAGGUUCGUCCGCCCAAGGUAAGUCGGGAGCUAAGCUCAGGCCGCGAGGCGUAGGCGAUGCACAUACGGUAGAAAUUCCGUAACCACCGAACUUUAAGCAUGAGGGACACUUUGAGAUAGCGGAACCCGGGCGUUGGUUGACCCGGGCGAAAGGGACCGAAAUAUAGUAGGGAAGUCCGCGAUGCUCGGAGGCGAGAAAAGCUCAUGUGUAUACUAAGGUGCCCGUACCGCAAACCGACACAGGUAGAUGAGGAGAGAAUCCUAAGGCCAACGGGAGAAGGGUUGUUAAGGAACUCGGCAAGAUGACCCCGUAACUUCGGAAGAAGGGGAGCCUCGAAAGAGGCCGCAGUGAAUAGGCCCAAGCAACUGUUUACCAAAAACACAGGUUUAUGCUAAAUCGAAAGAUGACGUAUAUGAGCUGACGCCUGCCCGGUGCCGGAAGGUUAAGAGGAGAUGUCAACCGCGAGGUGAAGCAUUGAAUUGAAGCCCCGGUAAACGGCGGCCGUAACUAUAACGGUCCUAAGGUAGCGAAAUUCCUUGUCAGGUAA
rnacentral:rRNA from 1 species